CCUGGGGAACACCUUCCUUAAACUGCUCCGCCCGCGUGGGCACUCCCACCGACGCCGCCCCGAUGAGGGGAAACGCCAGUGCGCUAUCGCGGGACUCCGGUGUUCCGCCGGGGCAUCGAGAGGCCUCCGCCGUCCCGGGGCGCCCGAGGAGGUCGCUUACGCCACAGCGGUGACGGAAACCCGAAUAUUUUGCGAAUUUUUUUCCGAUUUUUGGUCAGGCGAAUUGAGUUCGCUUCUUUGACUGUUUUUUAUUGGUAUACUUCUUCUUUGACUGUUUAAUUUCUUAAAACGGACGCGAGGCGCCGUCGACCUAUAUUAAUCCGGACCUCCGCUUCCUUUCUCCGUCUCCGCGACACCGUCCAUCUUCUACUCUGUUCGUCGCGCCGCGGUGCUCCGACUGCCGGGGACGGGCCCAGCGCCGCCCCCCGAGACCGCCGCCCCGCGGUCGGGUUACCGCUCUCUUCCCUCUCUCUGUACAAGCUGGGGAGUCCUCCCUCUCUCUCUCUCUCUCUCUCUCUCUCUCUCUCUCUCUCUCUCUCGCUCUGGCCUGGUGAGGAGGUCGAGGACGGAACUAGGUGGAGGAGAUUUCAAGGGAUUUUGGGAGAGGAUUUGUUUGUUUUUUAUUAUUGAACAUUGGAGAUUGAUGAGAAUCCGAGGAAAGAUCCGGCAUCUAUGACGACGGAAACCCCGGGGCGAUCGAUGCCGGCGGCGUUUGGAGGUGAUUUUGACAUGGAAUGGCAGAUCUCCUCGGCUAUGGGAGCAGCGAAAAGCAUGUCGACAAGAUAUGCGAGGACAAAGUUGAGGCAGAGGUGUGGUUUGCAGGACUUAAGGCAUUGAUUUCAUCAGGUCAAUCUGGACGUUCAAAAAUUGAUGGAUGGAGUGAUGGCGGACUCUGCCUUGAUGAUAUAGAGGACUUAAUAUCUAACAGUCCGAGUGACAGAUCCAUUGGCACCAUAGUGGAUGCUAGUUCUCCAGACAGCAAUCUAAAUAUGAGUGCUUUAUCUGUAGUCUCAUCAUCUGAAAGUUUGGUAUGCUUAGAAAGAUCAGAUGUAACAAGUAUGCAAGUAAAAGGGGCCACUUCCGAUGUUCUUAGGGUCAGUGUUUCUAGUGCCCCUAGCACAUCCAGUCAUGGUUCUGCACAGGAUGACUGUGAUGCCUUAGGGGAUGUGUACGUAUGGGGUGAGCUCAUAUGUGAUUAUUCUGCAAGGCCUGGUGCCGAUAGAAAUAUUAGUUAUUUUAGUGGUAGAAUUGAUGCCCUUCUACCUAACCCUUUGGAAUCCAAUUAUGUUUUGGAUGUUCGCCAUGUUGCCUGUGGUGUUAGGCAUGCUGCUCUGGUUACAAAGCAGGGAGAGGUUUUUACAUGGGGCGAAGAAUCUGGAGGGCGUCUUGGCCAUGGUGUUGGAACAAAUGUUAUCCACCCUCGUCUUGUCGAAUUUUUGGCAGCCUGUAAUGCAGAUUUUGUUGCUUGCGGGGAGUUCCAUACUUGUGCUGUAUCUGUGGCUGGCGAACUUUAUACUUGGGGAGAUGGUACUCAUAAUGUAGGGCUUCUUGGUCAUGGUAAUGAUGUCAGUCACUGGAUACCCAAGAGAGUUUCAGGACCACUGGAAGGGCUUCAAAUUGCUUAUGUUACUUGUGGCACCUGGCAUACAGCCUUGAUAACUUCCACUGGGCAGUUAUUCACAUUUGGCGAUGGAACAUUUGGUGUCUUAGGACAUGGAAACAGAGAAAGUGUUUCACAUCCAAGAGAGGUAGAAUCUUUGAUGGGUUUGAAGACAAUUGCUGUUGCAUGCAGUGUGUGGCACACUGCUGCAAUAGUAGAAGUCAUAGUUGCUCAAUCUAAUGCUAGUAUAUCAUCUGGAAAAUUGUUCACUUGGGGUGAUGGGGACAAGUAUCGCCUUGGUCAUGGUGAUAAGGAGCCACGACUUAAACCCACUCGUGUGGCUUCACUGAUUGACUGCAAUUUUCACAAGCUAGCUUGUGGCCAUAGUCUUACAAUUGGCUUGACAACUUCAGGACAUGUUUUUACCAUGGGAAGCACCGUUUAUGGUCAACUUGGCAAUCCCCAGUCUGAUGGGAAGGUUCCGUGCUUAGUUGAAGAUAAGCUUGCUGGCGAAUAUGUGGGAGAGGUUGCUUGUGGUUCAUACCAUGUUGCAGUUUUAACCACCAGGAGUGAAGUUUACACAUGGGGAAAGGGAGCCAAUGGAAGACUUGGCCAUGGAGACCUUGAGGAUCGGAAAACACCUACACUUGUUGAAGCUUUGAAGGACAGAGCUGUUAAACACAUUGCAUGCGGUGCGAACUUCACGGCUGCCAUAUUGCAACAUAAAUGGGUAUGCGGUGCGGAGCAGUCUCAGUGCUCAGCCUGCAGACAAGCAUUUGGCUUUACUCGAAAGAGGCAUAAUUGCUAUAAUUGUGGACUUGUGCACUGCCAUGCAUGCAGUUCAAGAAAAGCUCUGAGAGCUGCAUUGUCUCCUAAUCCUGCAAAAUCUUACCGUGUUUGUGACUCCUGUUAUGUGAAAUUGAGCAAAGUGUUGGAAUCUGGUGGAACUAAUAACAAGAGAAAUGCUGUGCCCCGCCUCUCAGGAGAAAGCAAAGGUAGAUUUAACAAAGCAGAUUUGAAACCAUCAAAGAAUUUGUUGCCUAGUAACCUGGAUUUGAUCAAAAUUCUGGAUAUCAAGGCAGCUAAAUAUGGUAAGUGGACUGACACCUUGUCUUUGAUUAGGCCCCCUCAAGUUAAUUCACUGUUACAGUUAAAAGAUAUUGCUUUUGCUGGUGGGUCUGAUUUUCACCGAGCAGUUCCCAAAGCAGUCCGCAUAUCAGCGGUUCAAUCUGUAAAUCCUUCAAGGGCUGUUUCACCUUUCUCUAGAAAAGCUAUCCCUCCACGUUCUGCAACACCUGUUCCUACAACAUCAGGCCUUUCUUUCUCCAAAAGUAUUGCCGACAGUCUGAAAAAGACAAAUGAACUAUUGAGUCAAGAAGUUCAGAAACUGCAUGCUCAGGUUGAAAAUCUGAGACAGCGCUGUGAACUUCAAGAACUUGAGUUGCAGAAAUCGGAAAAAAAAGCUCAGGAAGCCAUGGCACUGGCUGCAGAGGAAUCUGCAAAAUCCAAAGCUGCAAAGGAAGUUAUAAAAUCACUAACAGCUCAGCUUAAGGAUAUGGCAGAUAGAUUGCCCCCUGGGGUCUAUGAAAAUGGGAUAAAGCCAGUAUAUCUGCCAAGCGGCAUUGAGCCACAUGCUAUUCACUACUUCAGUCUGAAUGGGGAGUACCAGUCAAGAAAUGAUGGAAGCAAUGGUCCAGACAUACCUCCACCCAUGGCUAUCGACUCUGCUGCUAUGAAUGGAAGUUCAGAACAAAAUCUUCCACCAAGGGAUAUUCAAAAAGUUAAUGUAAUGAGUACACAAUUUGAAAAAAAUAGGAUUAUAUAUUUGAAUGAAGCAAAAGAGCAUUUGAAUACAGAAUGCCAUGGUCAUGAAGAAAUGCCAACAUCAAGUGGUAGAGCAGAGAAUGUUGAUAGCAAGGGAAUGGAGCCCCCUCAAAAUGGCGAGCAUGGUUUUAUGUCUCGAAGCCCCACUUCAUCUAGCAAUCAAGUCGAGGCAGAAUGGGUAGAACAGUAUGAACCUGGUGUUUAUAUCACUUUGAUGGCCCUUCGUGAUGGCACUCGAGAUCUGAAGAGGGUGCGAUUCAGUCGCAGAAGAUUUAAAGAACAUCAAGCAGAAGCCUGGUGGUUUGAGAACCGUGAAAAAGUGUACAAGAGGUACAAUGUUCAUGGGUCAGAUAGGGCUUCAUCAGCAGUGCUCAACCAAUCUGCACGCAGACCAGAAGAAGAGUUCACGCCAUCUUCAAAAGUUUAGCAGAAAAAAGGUGAGGGAAAUGCUUAUCAGUAUAUUGGAUGAUUCUAAUUCCACUCCGGACUGUGAUCUGAAUGGCAUCCAGGAAAUCUCUGGAAUAAAUAAUGUGGGAGCGCUUUGAACCACUGGCUUGCUGCAUAGCAUAUGAGACAGAGACAGAGCUUUGCACCAUUGGUUUGCUACAUAGCACAAAAGGUUUGGUGCAAUUCAUAGUGGGAUUAUGUUGUAAAGGACCAAGCAGAAGGUGCUAUCAACACCAGGUAUACGUGUAACCCAAACUAAAUUUUGGUCGUUGGGGACUUCAGGUCAGGUCUA